AUGUAUGGGGCUGGUGAGGGAUCUGAGGAGGGAUCUAUGGGGCAAUGUGUGGGUCAGAUCUAUGGGUCAGAAUAUGGGUCGGAUCUAUGGGGCAGUAUGUGGGUCAGUAUAUGGGUUGGAUCUAUGGGUCAAUAUGUGGGUCAGGUGUAUCUAUGGGGCAGUGUGUGGGUCGGAUCUAUGGGUCAAUAUGUGGGUCAGUAUAUGGGUUGGAUCUAUGGGUCCAGGUGGAUCUAUGGGUCAAUCUAUGGGUCCAGGUGUAUCUAUGGGUCAGAUCUAUGGGUCCAGGUGGAUCUAUGGGUCAAUCUAUGGGUCCGGGUGGGUCUAUGGGGUGAAGUAUGGGUCAGUAUAUGGGUCAGAUCGAUGUGUUGUAUCUAUGGGUCCAUAUGUGGGUCAGAUCUAUGGGUCCAGGUGUAUCUAUGGGUCAAUGUGUGGGUCCAGGUAUAUCUAUGGGGCAAUCUAUGGGUCUGGGUAUAUCUAUGGGUCCAGGUGGAUCUAUGGGGUGAUGUAUGGGUCAUAUCUAUGGGUCAGUCUAUGGGUCCGGGUGUAUGUAUGGGUCCCUAUGAGAGUCUCGCCGUGGGGCAGGCUGACCCUAUAACCCGCAGCGCCGCUGUGCCCCAUAACAAGCCCAAGAGCGCGUGGAGGAGCCGCAUCCAUCCCUCCAUCCAUCCCUCCAUCCAUUUAGAUGGGGCCGGUAGGUUGUGGGGCAGCGCCGUGGGGCAGGAGCCGCUGGAGGCCGACAUGUGGGGCACUGAGACCCAUUGGCCCCAUUGCCCCCAUUGCCCCCCAUUAUCCCCCCCCUCACCCCACAUCUCUUCUUUUACAGCUGCAAUGUGGACAACGGCCCCGCCCCCUUCUUAAGCCACGCCCCCUUUCCCCGUAGGCUCCGCCCCCUUUGCCUUUAAGCCCCGCCCCCUUCAUUAACCCCUUCUUUAUUAAACCCCUAUCCUUUAAGCCACGCCCCCUUUGCCUUUAAGCCCCGCCCCCUUCAUUAACCCCUUCUUUAUUAAACCCCCUAUCCUUUAAGCCCCGCCCCCUUUUCCUUUAAGCCCCGCCCCUUUCUUCCUUUAAGCCCCACCCCCUUCGUUAAGCCUUGCCUCCUUUUCCUUUAAGCCCCGCCCCAUUCGUCUCUAUGCCCCUCCCCUUCAUUAACCAUCGCUUAACGCCACGCCCCCUUUCCUAAGCCCCGCCCCCAUUGAGCCCUUCUUUAUUUAGCCCCGCCCCCUUUCUCCUUAAGCCCCUCCCCCUUCGCUGAUCCCCUUCAUUAAGCCCCACCUCCUUUUCCUUCAAGCCCCGCCCCCUCAUUGACCACUUCCUUAAGCCACGCCCCUUUCCUUUAACCCCGCCCCUUCAUCAACCCCUUAAGCCCCGCCCCCUCUUAAACCCCGCCCCUUUUAGUCACCCCCCUUCAAGCCCCGCCCCCUUCAUUAACAUAUUGACACCUGCUGCCUUUAAGCCACGCCCUCUUUCCUUUAAGCUCCGCCCACUUCAUCUUUAACCCACCCCCUUUUCCAUUUAAGCCACGCCCCCUUCCUUAAGCUCCUCCCCCCUUAAGCCCCGCCCAUUUCAUUAUCCCCGUGCUUUCUUAAGCCCCUCCCCUUCUUCCUUAAGCCCCGCCCCCUUUCAACUCCCUAAGCCCCGCCCCCUUUCUCACCUGAAGCUCCACCCCCAUUCCUGAGACCACACCCCCCUUUUCCCUUCAACCAAUCAACACCCCCCUUUCUUGCCUUAAACCCCGCCCCCUUUCCUGUGACCACGCCCCCUCUUUGUAGACCACGCCCCCUUUCGUAGCCCCGCCCAUUUUCUUCUUGGCCCCGCCCCCUUUUCCUCCAGCCAAUCAACGCCCCCCAUCUCGCCUUAA
ensembl:lncRNA